rnacentral:rRNA from 1 species
UACGUAGGGACCAAGCGUUGUUCGGAUUUACUGGGCGUAAAGGGCGCGUAGGCGGCUUAACAAGUCACUUGUGAAAUCUCCGGGCUUAACUCGGAACGGCCAAGUGAAACUGUCAAGCUAGAGUGCGGAAGGGGCAAUCGGAAUUCUUGGUGUAGCGGUGAAAUGCGUAGAUAUCAAGAGGAACACCUGAGGUGAAGACGGGUUGCUGGGCCGACACUGACGCUGAGGCGCGAAAGCUAGGGUAGCAAACGGG